rnacentral:tRNA from 1 species
GGGCGGCUAGCUCAGUGGUAGAGCACUGCCUUCACACGGCAGGGGUCACAGGUUCGAACCCUGUGCCGCCCACCA